GCGGCGGUAGUCUAGCCUGGUUAGGGCGGCCAAAAGCCCCCAGAGUAGGAUGGCGGCCUCCCAAGCCGCUGAUCCCGGGUUCGAAUCCCGGCCGCCGCA
rnacentral:tRNA from 1 species